CCUGACGCAGCGACGCCGUGUGAGGGAAGAAGGCUUUCGGGUCGUAAACCUCUGUCGGGAAGGAAGAACCCCCCAGGUCCGAAUAGGGCCUGGGGCUGACGGUACUUCCAAAGGAAGCACCGGCUAACUCCGUGCCAGCAGCCGCGGUAAUACGAAGGGGGCUAGCGUUGCUCGGAAUCACUGGGCGUAAAGGGUGCGUAGGCGGGUUUCUAAGUCAGAGGUGAAAGCCUGGAGCUCAACUCCAGAACUGCCUUUGAUACUGGAAGUCUUGAGUUCGGGAGAGGUGAGUGGAACUGCGAGUGUAGAGGUGAAAUUCGUAGAUAUUCGCAAGAACACCAGUGGCGAAGGCGGCUCACUGGCCCGAUACUGACGCUGAGGCACGAAAGCGUGGGGAGCAAACA
rnacentral:rRNA from 1 species